rnacentral:rRNA from 1 species
GAUGAACGCUGGCGGCGUGCCUAAUACAUGCAAGUCGAGCGAACAGACGAGGAGCUUGCUCCUCUGACGUUAGCGGCGGACGGGUGAGUAACACGUGGAUAACCUACCUAUAAGACUGGGAUAACUUCGGGAAACCGGAGCUAAUACCGGAUAAUAUAUUGAACCGCAUGGUUCAAUAGUGAAAGACGGUUUUGCUGUCACUUAUAGAUGGAUCCGCGCCGCAUUAGCUAGUUGGUAAGGUAACGGCUUACCAAGGCAACGAUGCGUAGCCGACCUGAGAGGGGGAUCGGCCACACUGGAACUGAGACCCGGUCCAGACUCCUACGGGAGGCAGCAGUAGGGAAUCUUCCGCAAUGGGCGAAAGCCUGACGGAGCAACGCGGCGUGAGUGAUGAAGGUCUUCGGAUCGUAAAACUCUGUUAUUAGGGAAGAACAAAUGUGUAAGUAACUAUGCACGUCUGGACGGUACCUAAGCAGAAAGCCACGGCUAACUACGU